rnacentral:rRNA from 1 species
GGGGGGGGGGGGGGGGGGGGGGGGCAGGGGGGGGUGGAGCGGGGGGGGGCUGCUGUGGGGGGGGGGGCGGGUGGCGGCCGUGGGGGUGGCGCGUGAGUGACCUUCCCGUUGCGUUGUGCUCACGUCGGCAACCCGUGAGCAAUGGCGGCUAGGAGCCCCUGCUGCCUUGUUUGUGUUAGACCGUUUCGGCGGUGGGGGAUGGACUCGCGGCUUAUCAGCCUGUUUGUGGGGUCGUGGCUUACCAAGGCUUUGACGGGUAGCCGGCCUGCGCGGGUGACAGGCCACAGUGGGACUGAGAGACUGCACAGACUCCUACGGGAGGCAGCAGUGGGGAAUAUUGCACAAUGGGCGGAAGCCUGAUGCAGCAACGCCGCGUGCGGGAUGACGGCCUUCGGUUUGUAAACCGCUUUCGCCUGUGACGAAGCGGGAGUGACGGUAAUGGGGAAAGAAGCACCGGCUAACUACGGG